GGGCCCGCACAAGCGGCGGAGCAUGCGGAUUAAUUCGAUGCAACGCGAAGAACCUUACCAAGGCUUAAAUGUAGUGGGACAGGUCUAGAGAUAGACCCUUCUUCGGACUCAUUACAAGGUGCUGCAUGGUUGUCGUCAGCUCGUGCCGUGAGGUGUCAGGUUAAGUCCUAUAACGAGCGCAACCCCUAUCGUUAGUUGCCAGCGAGUAAUGUCGGGAACUCUAAGGAGACUGCCGGUGACAAACCGGAGGAAGGUGGGGACGACGUCAAGUCAUCAUGGCCCUUACGGCUUGGGCUACACACGUGCUACAAUGGCAAGUACAGACGGCCGCUAACCCGCGAGGGGAGCUAA
rnacentral:rRNA from 1 species